UACGAAGGGGGCUAGCGUUGCUCGGAAUCACUGGGCGUAAAGGGUGCGUAGGCGGGUCUUUAAGUCAGGGGUGAAAUCCUGGAGCUCAACUCCAGAACUGCCUUUGAUACUGAGGAUCUUGAGUUCGGGAGAGGUGAGUGGAACUGCGAGUGUAGAGGUGAAAUUCGUAGAUAUUCGCAAGAACACCAGUGGCGAAGGCGGCUGACUGGACCAUUACUGACGCUGAGGCGCGAAAGCGUGGGGAGCAAACAGG
rnacentral:rRNA from 1 species